rnacentral:sRNA from 23 species
AUAAAAGUGCGGCAAAAUACACACACUUAUCGGCACAUGAUCCCGGGUGCCCUGUUUCGACGGGUCGGGUCAUGGGGUAGGUGGAGGUUUAAC